UGGGGAAUUUUGGACAAUGGGCGAAAGCCUGAUCCAGCAAUGCCGCGUGUGUGAAGAAGGCCUUCGGGUUGUAAAGCACUUUUGUCCGGAAAGAAAUCCUUGGCUCUAAUACAGUCGGGGGAUGACGGUACCGGAAGAAUAAGCACCGGCUAACUACGUGCCAGCAGCCGCGGUAAUACGUAGGGUGCAAGCGUUAAUCGGAAUUACUGGGCGUAAAGCGUGCGCAGGCGGUUUGCUAAGACCGAUGUGAAAUCCCCGGGCUCAACCUGGGAACUGCAUUGGUGACUGGCAGGCUAGAGUAUGGCAGAGGGGGGUAGAAUUCCACGUGUAGCAGUGAAAUGCGUAGAGAUGUGGAGGAAUACCGAUGGCGAAGGCAGCCCCCUGGGCCAAUACUGACGCUCAUGCACGAAAGCGUGGGGAGCAAACAGGAUUAGAUACCCUGGUAGUCCAGCGCCCUAAACGAUGUCAACUAGUUGUUGGGGAUUCAUUUCCUUAGUAACGUAGCUAACGCGUGAAGUUGAUCCGCCUGGGGAGUACGGUCGCAAGAUUAAAACUCAAAUGAAUUGACGGGGUCAUAGCUGUUUCCU
rnacentral:rRNA from 1 species